UACCAUGCGCGCCCCUGAGGUGACUGCCGGUUGGCCGGUGGUUUAAACGGGAAUCCGGUGCGCGCGUCGCCUUGGGCCAGGCGCAAUUCCGGAGCUGCCCCCGCAACGGUGGGCGAGGCCAGGUGCCGCAACAUGCCACUGUGCAGCCGCAUGGGAAGGCGCGGCAUCGGAAGCACCAGCUUCCACUCGCGAGCCCGGAGACCGGCCUGAGGGAUUGACCCGGCA
rnacentral:ncRNA from 15 species